GACGAACGCUGGCGGCGUGCUUAACACAUGCAAGUCGAACGGACAGGCCCUGCUUUUGUGGGGUGCUCGAGUGGCGAACGGGUGAGUAACACGUGAGUAACCUGCCCUUGACUUUGGGAUAACUUCAGGAAACUGGGGCUAAUACCGCAUAGGAGCUCCUGCUGCAUGGUGGGGGUUGGAAAGUUUCGGCGGUUGUGGAUGGACUCGCGGCUUAUCAGCUGGUUGGUGUGGUAGUGGCUUACCAAGGCUUUGACGGGUAGCCGGCCUGAGAGGGUGACCGGCCACAUUGGGACUGAGAUACGGCCCAGACUCCUACGGGAGGCAGCAGUGGGGAAUAUUGCACAAUGGGCGGAAGCCUGAUGCAGCAACGCCGCGUGCGGGAUGACGGCCUUCGGGUUGUAAACCGCUUUCGCCUGUGACGAAGCGUGAGUGACGGUAAUGGGUAAAGAAGCACCGGCUAACUACGUG
rnacentral:rRNA from 1 species